rnacentral:tRNA from 1 species
GCGGAUGUAGCUCAGGGGGAGAGCGCCGGAUUUGGGUCCGGAGGACAGGGGUUCGAGUCCCUUCAUCAGCACCA